rnacentral:misc_RNA from 1 species
GAAGAUCAUAUGCUCUGCCGCACAACUUCAAAGUAGUCGGCUCUGAAGGCAGGAAGGUACCAACAGAAUUAUCCACACGCCAGAAUGCCAAUUUGGAAGAUCGAUUCAUCAUGCCAAUAUUAACACAAUCUCUCAAAUCACAUGGUGAAACUAAAGAAGCUAAGAUGCACCAGGCAGACGAUAUUGGAGGUUCCAUACUUCCAGGAGAGACAACACAGCCCACUGCAACAUAACCUUUCGGUGCUAUAGGGAACCAAAUAGAACAAGUGCCAUCUUCUUUAGAUAAAAACGUGGUUGACCCCA